rnacentral:rRNA from 1 species
GAUGAACGCUGGCGGCGUGCCUAAUACAUGCAAGUCGAGCGAACAGACGAGGAGCUUGCUCCUCUGACGUUAGCGGCGGACGGGUGAGUAACACGUGGAUAACCGACCUAUAAGACUGGGAUAACUUCGGGAAACCGGAGCUAAUACCGGAUAAUAUAUUGAACCGCAUGGUUCAAUAGUGAAAGACGGUUUUGCUGUCACUUAUAGAUGGAUCCGCGCCGCAUUAGCUAGUUGGUAAGGUAACGGCUUACCAAGGCAACGAUGCGUAGCCGACCUGAGAGGGUGAUCGGCCACACUGGAACUGAGACACGGUCCAGACUCCUACGGGAGGCAGCAGUAGGGAAUCUUCCGCAACGGGCGAAAGCCUGACGGAGCAACGCCGCGUGAGUGAUGAAGGUCUUCGGAUCGUAAAACUCUGUUAUUAGGGAAGAACAAAUGUGUAAGUAACUAUGCACGUCUUGACGGUACCUAAUCAGAAAGCCACGGCUAACUACGUG